GAGCAGCCACGCAGCAGUGGAUAAGAGCUGAAAGCAUCUAAGCUCGAAGCCACCUUGAAAAAGAGGCAUCGCAGCGCUCGUAAAUGACGAGUUUGAUAGGACCGGGGUGUAAGCAUCGAGGUUUUCCGAGGUGUUCAGCCUGUCGGUUACUAAAGUUGUACUAGCCAUUACU
rnacentral:rRNA from 1 species